GAUGAAGAACGCAGCGAAAUGCGAUAAGUAAUGCGAAUUGCAGAAUUCCAGUGAGUCAUCGAAUCUUUGAACGCACAUUGCGCCCUUUGGUAUUCCGAAGGGCAUGCCUGUUCGAGCGUCAUUAUCACCCCUCAAGCACGGCUUGUGUGUUGGGCCUCCGUCCUCCUCCCGGGGGACGGGCCCGAAAGGCAGCGGCGGCACCGCGUCCGGUCCUCGAGCGUAUGGGGCUUCGUCACCCGCUCUUGUAGGCCCGGCCGGCGCUUGCCGACACAUCAAUCUUUUUUCCAGGUUGACCUCGGAUCAGGUAGGGAUACCCGCUGAACUUAAGCAUAUCAAUAAGCGGAGGA
rnacentral:misc_RNA from 1 species